ACCAUCAGAACAAACUCAAGUGUGGUUCUGCCUAGUCACUGCUCAUUGUCUUCAUCAAAUGAAACUGAAAAACCAGUAACACUUUCUUCACAACGUGAGGCCAGGAGGCCACUCAUGGUUCCCUCCUCAGUGCUGCUGCUGGAAUUUUUGUCUGUGACAUUGCUGAGGCAGUUAGCACCAAGCAGAAGAGCUCUUAGAGGAGC